AACGAACGCUGGCGGCAUGCCUAACACAUGCAAGUCGAACGAGACCUUCGGGUCUAGUGGCGCACGGGUGCGUAACGCGUGGGAACCUGCCCUUAGGUUCGGAAUAACUCCCCGAAAGGGGUGCUAAUACCGGAUAAUGUCUUCGGACCAAAGAUUUAUCGCCUUUGGAUGGGCCCGCGUUGGAUUAGCUAGUUGGUAGGGUAAAAGCCUACCAAGGCGAUGAUCCAUAGCUGGUCUGAGAGGAUGAUCAGCCACACUGGGACUGAGACACGGCCCAGACUCCUACGGGAAGCAGCAGUGGGGAAUAUUGGACAAUGGGCGAAAGCCUGAUCCAGCAAUGCCGCGUGAGUGAUGAAGCCCUUAGGGUUGUAAAGCUCUUUUACCCGGGAUGAUAAUGACAGUACCGGGAGAAUAAGCUCCGGCUAACUCCGUG
rnacentral:rRNA from 1 species